rnacentral:ncRNA from 1 species
CUCAUCAAGAGCGGUGGAGGGAAUGGCCCUAUGAAGCCGCAGCAACCAUUGCGGAGUGACAUCCGUAAAACGGUGCUAAGUCCUGCAGCACUUUAGCUGUGAGAUGAGG